rnacentral:rRNA from 1 species
UACGUAGGGCGCAAGCGUUGUCCGGAAUUAUUGGGCGUAAAGAGCUCGUAGGCGGCCUGUUGCGUCCGCUGUGAAAUCCCGGGGCUCAACCCCGGGCCUGCAGUGGAUACGGGCUGGCUAGAGGCAGGCAGGGGAGAACGGAAUUCCUGGUGUAGCGGUGAAAUGCGCAGAUAUCAGGAGGAACACCGGUGGCGAAGGCGGUUCUCUGGGCCUGUACUGACGCUCAGGUGCGAAAGCCAGGGGAGCGAACGGG